rnacentral:rRNA from 1 species
GUCAGUCAUCUUAACGGUGAGGGUCCACCCGUUCCCAUUCCGAACACGAUAGUUAAGCUCACUCGUGCCCACAAUACUUGGCUGGAGACGGCCCGGGAAGAUAGGUAAUGGCUGACA